UACGUAGGGUGCGAGCGUUGUCCGGAAUUAUUGGGCGUAAAGAGCUUGUAGGCGGUUUGUCGCGUCUGCCGUGAAAGCCCAGGGCUUAACCCUGGGUCUGCGGUGGGUACGGGCAGACUAGAGUGUGGUAGGGGAGACUGGAAUUCCUGGUGUAGCGGUGAAAUGCGCAGAUAUCAGGAGGAACACCGAUGGCGAAGGCAGCUCGCUGGGACGGUACUGACGCUGAGACGCGAAAGCGUGGGGAGCAAACAGG
rnacentral:rRNA from 1 species